ACACCAAGAAGUUGAGUCAUAUGAUUGAUGGUGAAAAGAUAGUUAGGUGAAUAAGGAGUUGUAGGCUAUUCGAUGUAGUGUAUAGGGGUAAAAUUCGAGUGCGACUAUAUAGUUUGAGAAUAGCUUUAGGGCUGAAUCUAUGAAAUCCUUGAGGGAAACUGGGAUUAGGUACCCCAUUAUUCUUGGAUGUAAAUAGAGAGUGUCUACCAGAGUACUAUGAAUAAUAGAGAAUUUAAAACUCAAAGAACUUGGCGGUGUUUUAGACCACUUAGGGGAACCUGUCUCGUAAUCGACAGUCCACGUUGUACCUGACCUUUUCUUGUUUUCAGUUUGUAUACCGUUGUCGUCAGGUAACUUUUUAGAAAAUAGAAGUUGGCUAUAGAAAUCUAGUAAUUUAGUACGUCAAAUCAAGGUGCAGCUAACGAAAAGGGGAGGAUGGGUUACAAUUAUAUAAUUAUAAUGACGGAUGUCCACAUGAAAGUGUGGGUUGUGAAGGAGGACUUAGAAGUAAAUUGGAUUAAGAAAAACAGUUUGAAUGAGGCUCUGAAACGUGU
rnacentral:rRNA from 1 species